UAUUUUUCAAAGAGGGAAGCAAAAGUCCAAAGUCCACAUCGGUUUGCUACUAUCCAUCUCUUAUCAAUGGGCAACAACCAUCAUUUAUCAUCGCCACUAUUUUGUGAAAUGCAACUAUGGUGGAAUGUGGUUGGUGUUCAGCAUAAUCUUAAAAAGUAAGUUUAUUACAGUAAAAUCUCUUUUUGGUUGUGUUUUAAUUUUUUUUCCAGUUGGAAACAAUAGAGGUUGAACAAAGUACACCAGUGCCAGCGAUAACUCAAGCACACGAUUGUGGGGUUGAGAACCUAUUCACAGUGAACUUAGAUGAUGUAGAUGUUGCAAUCAAGCACUUGAAAUGGAGGAUUAAUGAUUGGAAGGUAUCAUCUUGGGAAAUGAUUUUUUAUAUAGUUAGGUGUAAUGCCCAUAUUCUAAAUUUGAUUAUAAAAGAAGGAUUGAGCGAACAAAAUGAAUCUAUUUCUCGGGUAAAGAUUAUUGUGAAAUUUGUAAGUCUUUUCUUAUAAGAUCCACUUGCUUUAAAUCAUAUGUUGAGAAAGUCAAACUAGACACUCAUGGUCUUUUGAAUUUGGAUGUUGAGACGAGGUGGAACCCAACAUAUUUGAUGUUAGAUGCAACUCUAAAAUUUGAAAAUGUUUUUUCUAGAUGUAUUAUAAUGAACAUCAGUGUUGUCAAAGGCGAAAAGCGCAAAAAAACGACAAGGGCUGUUGGGGCUUAAAGCGCAAAGCGCACUCAAAGUGCGGGCUUUAGUGCAAAAAAACGCAAUAUAACAAAUAGUGUACAAUAUAUUUACAGAUCACGUAAUAAAAACAUAAGUGACAAAUAUAUUCAAAAUUAGAGCAAUGUAGUAUUAUUUUUAUCAAUGUAGUUAAAUUAUGGUGAAAAAUAUGAUAAACUAUCAACUAAACAAAACCAACUAUUCUACUUCUAAAUUCUAAUCACUAGCAUUAUCAUAUGUAUCUAAAAUGUCAUCAUCUUCUUCAAUAGGAUUACUCUCAUUGGUAUCACUAGAAUUAUAGCCUUCAAUAUCUUCUUCCUCUGAUUCCCUAGAAUCAACAUCAUUUAUAUCUAUAUUAAUACGUCGAACUUGAGAGCUUGAAGCACCGGCUGCCAAAGUUUUUGAUGGUCCCCUUUGUCUCAUUGAGUAUGAGUAUGUUUGUGCAUCUUCGCUUCCCGAUGCUCUAGCCAUAUCGCCCCAAGUUAAGUCAUCAUCUCCCUCAAACACCAAUUCAUUUUCCGCUUCAAAAUUUACCCCCAUUUCUCCAACCAACCACUCAUUACUAUGAUCAAUAUGAUCAAAUGAGAUUGGAUCAAUGAUAUUCCGCAAGUCAAAGCGAGUUCUUAGAGCACGAUUAUACUUGACAUACACUAGAUCAUUCAAUCUUUUAUGCUCUAAUCUAUUCCUCUUCUUGCUAUGGAUCUGCACAUGAAUUAUUUUAUCUCAUUGUUAGUAAAAUUGUAAGUUUGUAUUAAUUAACCAAAUAAAUUAAAAUAACGAAUAGUUAUAUGUAACUAAUGUCUAAUAAGAACUCACAUGUUCAAACACACUCCAAUUACGCUCGCAACCAGCUGAACUAGCGGUUAAGCUCAAGAUUCUAAUGGCUAAUUUUUGGAGAUGAGGGGCUGAAUUUCCAUAUAGAUUCCACCAUUCAACUGAAAAAGAUAUGACUUAGUGGUAAGUAAAUAUUGAACGUGAAGCCUUGAAGUGUUAAUUGUAAACAUUGAAUUUUCAUAUACCUGGAGAUCUCGUUGCUCUUGAUCUUUUUGCCAUGGGAAGUCCAAAUUGUCCCUCAGCUCUUGUAUAUAAUGGUAACUCAGAUGCAAUCUUAUCUUGAACUUCAAUACUUGGAACCAAUUUCUGAAUACAAGCAUAUAGUCCAUUCGUUACUUCUCUACAAUUCUUAAUGGCCGGAUCUUGAUAGAAAUACUCGGGAAUCAAAUAAUGUCCAGCAUGCAAUUGGCAUUCCCAUCUUUGAUCAAUGAUC